CUCCCAUUCACAAGCUGCAAACCAAACAGAGUUCUUCUAAACUCCCACUGCAGCAGUAUAUCCAAGCAAAGCCAUUCAUAGCUAAGGUUUUAUGUGAAGAGACCUUGGAGAAGGAGGUAAAGACAGGACUGCUGAGCAAAUGAAAAUGGAAUGAAGGAGAAUAUAGGGUUUUUCAAAUCACUUUCUUUUACUGCCUCUAGAUUCAUUCAAAGAGGUCUCAAGACUCCCAUACAAAUCACCUUUCCUCAUUGGACAUCAAAGAGAGUUUAAGAACCUACAGAGAAUUAAAAUGCUCUGAACUGAGACUGCAUGAAGACUACAGCUUCAUUCCAUCCAGCCAUGAGAGCAACUGCUGCUGUACUCCAGAAAAUUAAUUUUCCACCUAGUGAUUUCCUUUAGUUUUCCCAUAAUGGAGCACUGACAAACCUACAAAUCCAAGAAUUUUAAGAGCUGUAGGCAGUCUUCAGCCAACAUCUUCUACAUAGCCUAAGUUACCCUAAAAUUAAGCACUGGGGGUAACUUUAAAAAUGUGAGAAUGGAGGGAGCUAUUGAGAAGGGUAUAUAAAGAAAAGAACCAACAGGCUGAAUAAGUCUUCACAAUUGCUUACAUUUAUGGGAUAAGGCCAGUAAGAGAGUCUGAAAUAGGUUAGCUUUUUUCAAUAUGUGUAUUCAAAGGUUAGCAUACAGAUGGGACAGGGAAGCAGAAGAAAAUGACUAUGUUUGACCAUUCCAUGGAAAAGUGAGACAGACAUAGACAGAUGGAGAAAACUAAAAUUGGACAACACAAAGACAACAUUAAAUCACCGGAAAUAUGAAUGAAAGUUUCUGAAGGUGUAGAGUAACCAGCAAAAUGUGUACUAUAUAGAAAAACAUGGACUAUACAACAAAGCAUGACUAUAGCAAAGCAUGGCAACUCAUGUUUGAAAAACAGAAAGGAAGAAGUUACAUUUAGUUUACCCUACUCUGAAUUACUCUAAUAUCCUACCAAAAGUAUGGAAGGUUCUCCAACUUUUAAAUACUUCUCAUGGUACAUCAUCAUGGUGAGUCAGCUCCGUUAUAUGUUUACUAUCUUUAUGUAUCCAGUUGUCCUCUAUGACUAUGGAAACUCUGACCAGUGUACCAGAAUAUAAUAUAUAUGUUUGUAAUUUUUGAAAGAAGAAGAGGAUAAAAUUUCAGAAAAAUAUGUG
rnacentral:lncRNA from 1 species